rnacentral:rRNA from 1 species
AGCGAACGCUGGCGGCAGGCCUAACACAUGCAAGUCGAACGAACUCUUCGGAGUUAGUGGCGGACGGGUGAGUAACACGUGGGAACGUGCCCUUUGGUACGGAAUAACUCAGGGAAACUUGAGCUAAUACCGUAUGUGCCCUUCGGGGGAAAGAUUUAUCGCCAUUGGAGCGGCCCGCGUCUGAUUAGCUAGUUGGUGAGGUAACGGCUCACCAAGGCGACGAUCAGUAGCUGGUCUGAGAGGAUGACCAGCCACAUUGGGACUGAGACACGGCCCAAACUCCUACGGGAGGCAGCAGUGGGGAAUCUUGCGCAAUGGGCGAAAGCCUGACGCAGCCAUGCCGCGUGGAUGAUGAAGGUCUUAGGAUUGUAAAAUCCUUUCACCGGUGAAGAUAAUGACUGUAGCCGGAGAAGAAGCCCCGGCUAACUUCGUGCCAGCCGCCGCGGUAAAAC